rnacentral:rRNA from 1 species
GGGGGAUAUUGCACAAUGGGGGAAACCCUGAUGCAGCAACGCCGCGUGAAGGAAGAAGGUCUUCGGAUUGUAAACUUCUGUCCUCAGGGAAGAUAAUGACGGUACCUGAGGAGGAAGCUCCGGCUAACUACGUGCCAGCAGCCGCGGUAAUACGUAGGGAGCGAGCGUUGUCCGGAUUUACUGGGUGUAAAGGGUGCGUAGGCGGAUCUGCAAGUCAGUAGUGAAAUCCCAGGGCUUAACCCUGGAACUGCUAUUGAAACUGUGGGUCUUGAGUGAGGUAGAGGCAGGCGGAAUUCCCGGUGUAGCGGUGAAAUGCGUAGAGAUCGGGAGGAACACCAGUGGCGAAGGCGGCCUGCUGGGCCUUAACUGACGAUGAGGCACGAAAGCAUGGGUAGCAAACAGGAUUAGAUACCCUGGUAGUCCAUGCCGUAAACGAUGAUUACUAGGUGUGGGGGACUGACCCCUUCCGUGCCGCAGCAAACGCAAUAAGUAAUCCACCUGGGGAGUACGACCGCAAGGUUGAAACUCAAAGGAAUUGACGGGGGCCCGCACAAGCAGUGGAGUAUGUGGAUUAAUUCGAAGCAACGCGAAGAACCUUACCAGGUCUUGACAUCGUAUGCAUAGCUCAGAGAUGAGUGAAAUCUCUUCGGAGACAUAUAGACAGGUGGUGCAUGGCUGUCGUCAGCUCGUGUCGUGAGAUGUUGGGUUAAGUCCCGCAACGAGCGCAACCCUUAUCCUCAGUAGCCAGCAGGUAAAGCUGGGCACUCUGUGGAGACUGCCAGGGAUAACCUGGAGGAAGGUGGGGAUGACGUCAAAUCAUCAUGCCCCUUAUGAUCUGGGCUACACACGUGCUACAAUGGCGUAAACAAAGGGAAGCAAAGCCGCGAGGUGGAGCAAAUCCCAAAAAUAACGUCCCAGUUCGGAUUGUAGUCUGCAACUCGACUACAUGAAGCUGGAAUCGCUAGUAAUCGCAGAUCAGAAUGCUGCGGUGAAUACGUUCCCG